CGUGCUUGCUGAGUAAAAAGUCCACAUAUUUUUUAACAGAUCUACAAAAAAAAUCGAUCGGCAAUUGCUUCGGAUGAUCAAAUCACUUCGGGCACAAACUUUAAAUUGAACUGAAACCACAUACUAGCAUAGCAUUAACCACGAAAUUAGAGUACCAAACGCACCACAUAAAACACACGUACCGUAAAAGAUCACACCUGGACACACCAUGCAAAACCAAACGACAGACGUAUUAGAAUACAGAAGCAACACCCACAAGUUUCUCCCUUUUUACUCGGUAGCUAGCUAGGUGACUACUUCUUACGGAGGUCGCUCCGCAGGUCGCGGAAGUAGGUUUUGGGGUCCUCCUCGAAGGGAGCCCGGAGUAUGUGCAUGUCCCUCCCGGGGGCUUUCAUGGUCUUUUCUUCUUCGCCGGGCUCGGAUGAGUCACUGCGCAGGUUGCGGAAGUAGGCAGCGGGGUCCUCCUCAAAGGGACGCCGGGGUAUGCGCAUGUCCCUCCCGGGAGCUUUCAUGGUCUUUUCUUCUUCGCUGGGCAUGGACGAGUGGCUCCGCAGGUCACGGAAGUAGGUAGCAGGGUCCUCCUCGAAGGUACGCCGGAGUAUGCGCAUGUCCCUCCCGGGAGCUUUCAUGGUCUUUUCUUCUUCGGCAGGCUUGGACGAUUCGGCCAUCAGGCUCACCACGCCUGCACCCAAGGCCAAGAUCGCCGCGCCGGCGAUCGCUCCUGCGGCGAGGGCAGAUGAGCUGCUAGACUCCUUGGCCAAGGCAGUGUCACCUGACUCCUUGUUCUCACCAUCUCCCUCUCCACCUUUGCUCUCGCUUGCGCCCAUAUGGAGCUUGGACUUGGGAUAUGCCUUCGGAUAUGGUAAAAGUUUCGAGGUUUCUCUAGCGUCAAAGUGUGAGUGUUCUAUGCUUUGUUCUUAGGGUGAGAGGUGAGUCUUUGGGGGUUACUUUAUAGCGGCUUUGGUGGCUUUGGAGCUUGGACAUGGGAGUAAUUUCAUGACUUAAUGCUGUGCAUUGGAAAACGUCGACCUUGACCUUGACCUUAACCUUCACUUGAAGCAAUUCGUUUCUCGAUGCUCACUCACUCUUUCUGCGUCGAAGACGGAUGAGGCUUGCACUGCUUAAAUUUCCGAUAACAACUUUAGUAGAAAAAACAAAGGAAAAGUGGACGUGGGGGACCCAUCCUAAUGUGGAAAAGAAGACCGCCCAUGCUUUAGCAUGCCUUUGAGCAGUCAUCGCUCCUGCCUAUUUCGCCCCUUCUUUUCCCGUACUGCAAGAUGUUUCUUUUCAUUUAUUUAAUUUGAAAAAGGGAUAAUGACAUAAAUGAUUUCUAAGUAUUGACUCAAUAUAUAAUGUGAUCUCUAAACUUUUAAUUUAUUUAAUGUGGCCAAUGAAUUUCUAAUUUGUUCGAGGUAAUAUCUGAACUUUUGAUAAAUGUUCAAUUUAGUCUUUAGAUUAUUAUAUCCCUAGAUUCAACUAGUCCCCAAAUUAUCUAAUCCAAGGACUAGAUUGAACAUUUACCAAAAAAUUAUGAACCACAUUGAACAAAUUAAAAGUUCAAAAAUUACAUUGCACUUUAGGUUAAAGUUUAGGGAACACAUUAAACAUUGAAUCAAAGUUCAGAGAUCAUUUGUGUCAUUUUCUCUUUACUACUAAAAACACUAAACUAUACAUUCUAUAAUACAUUUAUCCCAAACUUUUUUUUUUGUAACACUAAAAACCUUCAAUUUAUGCCCAAUUGAUAGUUAUCCCAUUUUGACGUGUAGCACCGAUGUGGUGCCACUUCAGCACCACAUUUGAAAAAUUUUAAAAUAAAAAGGGUUAAUAGCACGGAAAAUCCAAAAUUGGUACACUUAUGACAAAUUUAUCUUAAACUAAUUUUUUAACCACAAAAAAUCAUAAACUGAUACACUUGUAAUAAAUUUAUCAUUUGUUAAUUUCUAUUAAUUUACCUUUAAGUUGCCGAGUUGGAUGGCGUAUAAUAGUUGACGAAUGUACAAGUUUGUGAUUUUACCCUUCAUUUGUCAUAUGUGUAUUAGUUUGUGGAUUUUUUUUUUUUCAUAAUAUUAAUUCAAUUUAACGGAAAUUAUCGAAACGUAAAUUUGUUCGUUGGAAGAUUAGCAAACAAUAGUGAAUGCUUACACUGCCAUGACUCUCCAAGGCAUAUUCCAUGAUAUGGUGAAAUUCCAUGGAUUCAAGAAAAAAAAGGUUCAACAAUUACUAAUGAAAUGGAUUAAAGACGUGGGGAGUAGCCCCAAUAGUGCAAAAGCUCGUGAGAAAGAGGAAGAACAUAGUAAAAUGGAUAGCUUGGGCUACUCCAUAUCUCAACAAGCUCGGCCACAAACAAAAUGCAAAAUUGGGUUUAAAUUUUAUUCUCAUAACUCGUCAUGCUAAAGCCUGAGCCUAGUGAAAGCAGAGCUUGGUGAGCACGAUUGAGGGAAAAAUGAAAGAAAAAAAACCAUUAGUUGGGAGUGACCAAAGCGAGAUCUCACUCUUGAAUGUUGAGCAAGGUUCAUUGUCACCGGUUAGAUUCGAGGUGGCUGAGCCCCUAAGUUCUCGCUCCUAGGUCAGGGAGGCAUGGACAACCUCGAUGAAGGUCGUUGUCCGUGGAUGAGUGCUCGAAAUUGGUGAACAGUGCAUCCUAAAUAAUGAAAAGUAAUCGCGAUAAUAGUGCUUCAAAUUUUUUCGUUUUUGUUUAAAUUUUUUUAAUGGGCCGCUUGCAUGGAACCACAUCAGUGCCAAGUCGGAGCCACGCCAAAUUUCAAUGGCAAUAUUUUAAUGGAAUCCUAACAAAAGGGUAAAUAUGUUACUUGGGUAUUGGUUUGGGAUAAAAAAAAAAUUGAGGAAACGUGCCAUUGUGGGCAUAAUUUAGUGUUUUUGGUGGUUUUUCUUUAACAAGGAAAAGAAGAUGGGGGGCCAUACUAACAUGGAAAAGAAGACUUGCUAAUGCUUUAGUGUGCCUUUGAGCUGUCGGCAAGAAAUCAUUCAUUAUUACUCCUACCUGUUUUGCCAGUUGUCGAAAAAAAAAAAAUUCAUUAUUGCUCCUAUAUAUUUUGCCCUUUCUUUUCUUGUACUACAAGAUGCUUAUUUUCAUAAUUUAAUUUGGAGAAGGGAUGGUGAGAUAAAUGGUCUAUGAACUUUGGUUUAAUGUGUAAUUUAGUCCUUGAACUUUCAAUUCAUUGGUCCCUACACUUUUGAAAAAUGUUCAACUCGAAAUGUUAAACUUUUGUUGUUCCCUAGUUGAACAUUUUUCAAAAGUUUAGGGAUCACAUUGAACAAAUUAAAUGUUUAGAUAUUGCAUUGCACUUUGGGCAAAGUUUAGGGACCACAUUGAACAUUGAACCAAAGUUCAUGGAUCAUUUGUGUCAUUUUUUCUUUGGAGGAAAAAAACUGCUAAAGACUCUAAACUAUGCCCACCGUAAUACAUUUACCCCAAUUCUUUUCGUGACACUAAAUAUUUCAUCACGCAUAUUUACUCGGCAUUAGGGUUAUGUUAAAUAUCACAGUAAAACCUAAUAACUCAAGCACCGCAUUCAAAAAAAUUAUAAUAAAAAGGGCUAGUGCCAAAAAAAAUUACAAAUUAGUAUAUUUGUCAAAUUUACCCCAAAUAUAAAAAACCUCGAAUUGAUACUCCUGUGACUAGUUUUUGUUAAUUUUUAUUAUUACUAAUUUAUAGUUUUAUCCUUCUUUUGUCACAUAUGUGUACUAGUUUGUGGUUUUUUGUAGUAAUAAUUCAAUUUAAUGGAAAUUAAUAGAGCAUAUAUUUGUUAUAAAUGUACUAAUUUGAAGUUUUUGGUGGAAAUUUGUCACAAAUGUACUUUUGGGAUUGUUUUGUGGUACUAACCUAGAUAAAACUAAUAAUUAAACAAACUCGAAGCACUGUUGGUCGUGGUUACUGUUCAUCAUCUUCAAGCCUUCGUCCAUCGCUAUCUAAAGUUGCCUGGACAUCCGACUGUGUUCAAUUCAUUUUUUUUCUUUUGUUGUAAAUAAUCUUCUUCCUUGUUCCUUUAGUUAGUGUUCAUCUUUAUAGGUAAACUUCUCCAUUUCUCUUCUAUUUUUUUUUUGUUUUGUCAAAAAUUUUCCUCUACUUUCUCCACUUAAAUACUGGCAAAAUCAAUCCAUGGACACUUUGCCACUUUGAUCACUGCUUAUUCAAACCUUGGAAAUCUAUCCAUCGGAAGAUUAGCAAAUAACAACUGAUGCUUGCACUGUCGUGACUCUCCAAGGCAUAUUUUAUAAUACGGCAAAACUCCAUGGAUUCAAGAAAAAAAGGGAAAAGGUUCAAUAGCUACUGAUGAAAUGGAUUAAGGACAUGGGGAGUAGCCCCAGUAGUGCAAAAGCUCAUGAGAAAGAGGAAGAACAAAGUAAUAUGGACAGCUCGGGCUACUCCAUAUCUCGGCAAGCUCGGUUGCAAACAAAACGCAAAAUUAGGUUUAAAUCUUUCUCACAACUCGUCAUGCUAAAGUUUGAGCCUAGUGAAAGUUGAGCUUGGUGAGCACAAUUAAAGGAAAAAUGAAAGAAAAACAAACCAUUAGAUGGGAGUGACCAAAGCGAGAUCUUACUCUCGAAUGUUGAGUAAGGCUCAUUGUCACCGAUUAGAUUCAAGGUGGCCAAGACACUUAGUCUUUUAUCCUAGGUUAGGGAAACAUGAACAAACUUGAUCAAGGUCAUUGUCCAUAGAUGAACACUUGAAGAUGAUGAACAGUGCAUCCAAAACAAUAAACAGUUAUUGCAGUAAUAGUGCUUUGAAAUUUUUUCUUUUUUGUUUGAAUUUCUUAAAUGGGGCACUCAUGUGGAACCAUAUCAACACCAAGUGGAAGCCAUGCCAGAUUUCAAUGGUGAUUUUUAAGAGAAUCCUAACGAAGGGUAAAUGUAUCACUUAGAAAUUAGUUUGAGAUUUUUUGGUAUCACAAAAAAAUUGAGGAAACGUGUCACUGUGGGCAUAAUUUGGUGUUUUGGGUUGCUUUUUCUUUAGCAUGGGAAAAGAAAUGAAGGGCGCAUCCUAAGGUGGAAAAGAAGACCCACUAAUGAUUUAGCGUACCUUUAAGCUAUCGGCAAGAAAUCAUUCAUUAUUGCUCCAACCUGUCUCGCUUUUUCUUUUCUGGUACUGCUAGAUGUUUCCUUUCAAAAUUUAAUUUGGAGAAGGGAUAAUGAUAUAAAUAGUCUUUGAACUUUGACCUAAUAUGUAAUGUAGUCCAUAUAUUUUUAAUUUAUUGGUCCCUAAACUUUUAAAAAAUGUUCAACGUGAAUUGUUAAACUUUUUUGGUCUCUAGUUGAAUGUUUUUUAAAAGUUUAGAGAUCACAUUGAACAAAUUAAAAGUUUAAGGACCACAUUACACUUUAGGCUAAAGUUUAGGGACUAUUUGUAUAAUUUUUUCUUUGAAGAAAAAAUCAUUAAAAACCCUAAACUAUACUUAUUGUGAUACAUUGUUGAUGCCUAAUUUUUAGUUGAUGCGUUGAUAAAGGUAGAACGGGGCCAAUUUUUUGAACAAAAAGUAUUAGUUUUCAUUUUCUUUCUUUUAUAAUGUCAUUUUUAGAUAAUUUCCUAGUCAUUUCCAAUAAAAAUUUGAAAAGUUAAAUGGUUGACUUUUGGGUUGACUUUUGAUCAAACUUUUGACCAAAAGUCAAACCCUUGGGUCAAAAGUUCCAAAAGUCAAACCCUUGGGUCAAAAGUUGACCUUUUGCACUAAAUGAUUCCUUUUAGUUCCAAUUUGACUUUAGCAUAUAAAAUUUUGCAAAAAUUGAAUAAGAAUCUUGUUUUUGAAUUUUUCGAUUUUAGGUUCAAAAUUAACCAAAAAGAAAAUUACUUUUAUUUUAGUUAUAAGUAGUCUUAGUUCCUUUUACAACAUUUGAUCUAGAGGUCGUUACCCAUUCACUCAUUCAAUCGAUUUUGAGAUUAGACGUGCCAAAAUAUGAAUUCUCUUUUUUAGCCCUGAUUAUGGGGUUUAAACUAGUUCAACGUGAUUUGCAAGCGGACACUUCCAUUCCACUCAUUUUUGUGGAAUAAGUCCGAAUUGAGGGUAAAUUUUGGGAAAUUCACUGGAACUUCUCAUUUUGAGGAAUUUAGCACUUGAACAUUAAAAAAUCAAGCUAAUGAGUUCCGAUUGAUGAAAUUCAAGUUGACCAAUUCGAGACUAAGGUUUAAUUUCAGAAAUUGAGGUUCAAUUUCAUCAUUAGACCCUGAUUCAAUUUUAGCAUAAAAGUCAUGCCAUUAACUUAAGUCAAUUUGAAUGCAAUAAGUCAUCCUAGGUAUGGUCAAUUAAUUCAUUGGUGCCAUGCAAUUUUAAUUGAAUUCAAUUUCAAUUAAUUUGCAUUUUUGGGCAAGAUAUUACAUAAAAUUGUCCAAUUUAGCCUAGGAAGUCCAAUUAUAUGUACCCAUGGCACGGGUCCAAUAGUUUCCAUGUUAAUUAGGUAAUUAGGCUAAUAAAAAGUUACAAGAUUGCAUUUACAUAGUUUAAUUGGCAUAAUUUCUUCAAAAUUGGACCGUUUCUCUUCGAGUUAAACCGUUUUUCCUUUAAAUUAAGCAAGAUUUCCUUUCAGGGACUAAAUUGCAUUAAAUGUAGAAGGGAAAGGACUAAAUCGCCCAAGAAGCGGCUAAAUCGACUGAACCGGUUUGAACUGAUUCGACUGGCUGCCGGUGGAGGAGGCUAGUUUGGCCUUCCUCUGGCUGAUUCUUGGUAGCCGAUGACACCCCAUGAUGGCCUACUAUGCAUACUUUCAUCCGUGCCUUCCAAUUUUUCAGAUUUUGCAAAAAUGCCCCUAGGUCUUAUGAAAUUACGAAAAUACCCAUAAUUAGGCCUUUAUUGCAAAAUUGAUCCGAACAAGUGAUUUCGGCUGAUCACCACUAUCCAAAUAGUCACAUGCUUAAAUCAAGUUUGCUUAAUGAGUAAGGAAGUUUGUUGGAAUCAAUCCUUAGCCAUCAGAUUGAAUCAACGGUUAGGAUUUGAUCUUGAGGGGGGGGGGUAUUUAACUCAUUUUCCCUCCAAAUUUUUGGAAGAGAGCCUCAUAAUCUAUAGAUUUCUCUCUUUAAACAAAAUUAUUCCUCAAAGAUCUCUCUCCUCUCUCUCUCUUCUCGUGUGGCAUCGCCUCACGACCCUCCUCCUCUCACCGCGCCUUCAACUACUCACCGAAGCCUCUGCUGGCUGAACACUAUCGUCCACUAGCUCCAUCAAUCCUCUUCUUCUCCUGCCGUAGUCACUCAGAGCCCCGACGACCACUAGAGCUUCCCGAUUAAUUUGAUUCACCGAUGGGGCCAAUCAUCGGCAUGUGACCCCAGUUGCCAGUUUCGCUGUUGGUUUCAACGACCAGCUCACUUCCCUUGGUGGCGCACCACCUCCGAUUAUCUUCCUUAACUUGUCCUUGACCUCCAGCGACCGUAGCUCCCCAUCUACACUGGUUUUGCCGUUGGUGUCAAAAUCGGAGCUUGAUCUUCAUCCAGUGCCAAACCAGUGCAAAUCCAGCGCAAUCUAGCUCUCCUUCGGCGAUUUUCAGGUUCUUCGGAAGUCCCUUGACAUCAUUAUGUGCCGUGGAGGCUUGAUUAUUGAUUGAUCGAGCUCAAAUCAAUCAAAACACACAAAAGGUAACUGUCUGUCCUUAAGCUUGAUGAAGUGAGGUUGUUCUAGACAACCGGGGCUAGAGCUCACCCUAGGAUUUUUGUAUCUACAAAAUAUGACGUAUUAGCAUGUUAGAAUGGCCAUAGGUUUGCCUUGAUUGAGCUUGGUUACAUUGAAAGAGUUUGAUUGUUUCAUUGUGCCUUGUUCUACAAAAAUCGUGUACCUCUUUGAUAGAUCUAAAACAUGCGGUGAUUUGAGCUUGUUAUUGUGGUUUUCUGUGUUUGAUAUCUUCAUGAUAUUUGUAGACGACUCGAGGAUCUUUCCAAUGACAUAAAGAAUGUCCUGAUUUGGUGUCGUUUACUACCUAAAAACUGCGUAGGAAUCGGUGCAUAUUUUUAGGAAUUUUAAUGUGUUUUGACCUAUUCUAUGUUUCACCGACCUUUACUUUUUAUUGAUUUUUUGCUAAUUUUUGUGAUUCGAGUUCUGAGUUGGUUUCAAAUUGCUUAGAACACACUUCUCUACAACAUAUAGUUUUUCCAAAAUUUCAGUAGCCAUGUCGGUAGGUAAAUUUGCAUUGAAACAUCCAUGCUGGUCUUUGUAAUCUGGAGUUUCGAACUGACCUUUGCCUAUUCCAUGAUUUUUUUUGAAAAUUAUGCGUUGCAAAUUAAAGGUUGUAUCCUCAUGAAGUUUGCUAAGAACAUCUAGGGCUACAACAUAUAAAAUUUUGAAAAAAAUAAUAAAGUCAUAUGAUAGGGUAAAUUGCCUAAAGAACGUGAGUUAUCGGUUCUAUUCUCCUGUGACCUAUACUGUUUGUCGAUUUUCUACUGAUUUUUUGAGUUUUAUUAGACUUAGAUUCUUUUGCGAGAAAUGAUCCAAAUUUAUGUUAUGCAUCCAUGAAUUUUUCCAGAAUUUUUUUGAUGACAUUGGGAUGGUGAACAAAUACUCGUGUUCCAUGAAAUUACUUCUGUGAUUUGGUCUGACAUGAGUUGCCGUGCAAUUGUCUUCAAUCGAGCUCUUAAGAGCAAAAUUAGUGCAUGAAUCCUUCUAGACAUGCUAGGAGACUUCAUAAGCUUCAAAAAUGACAUAUAAUUCAUGCCGAUCGGUGAUCCUUUGCUCUAUGAAUUUGCCUUGUGAAGUUGUUGCUAUGUUUAGUUCGAUUCUGCUAUGUUUGGGUUAGGGAGUGUUAGUUUACUUAGUGACAUUCAUGAAUUUGUAUGAUUUUCCUUGUAUUGAUCUAAGGUUAGAUGUUUUCAUCAAACUUAUUCAUUGCAUUUAGCCCUAUGUCAUGCUUAAAUGUCAUAAUUUUCAUGCAUCAUAGGUGGCUUAACUAGCUUCCUUUCAUGCAUCAUGUUCUGCCACGUUUUUUGCCGACUUGCACAUUUCUGCAAAUUUCAUCGUUUGAACAUGAAAUUGAUCUUAAUUGAGUUUGACGGCUCUUAGAAAUUCUUAGAGCACAUUCUAAGCUUUCCAAUGACUCCAAUUUUGUCCCCUUUGCAUGUUAUUUGAACCAGUUUUUAUUUUUGUGAGAUUUUUCUUGUAAUCUACCAUGUGAUGAAAUUCGAAUUGCUUGUUUGCUCAUUUUGAGUCUGAAUCUUUCCUAUUUUUGUAUGAUUGUUUUUUUUUUUUUUUGGGUGAGGAUUCUGAGGUUGGCUCUUCAAAGAAAGUUAUUCAUUACUUGUAUGGCUACAAUAUACUUAAAUUUCAUAAUUUUUAGACAUCAUUAGGGCAAAUUGCCAUUGAUAUUCUCUGAUAUCUUACUACUCUACACUGUUUCUGAUACAUUGCUCUCUGUUCUUGGAUUUUUUUAGAAAUUCAUGUGUAGAUUAUCUUAGAAAACUUCUUUCAUAAAAGUUGUUCCUUAUUGAAUCCUUAAUGUGCCAUGAUUUUUUUCAGGACCAAUGAUAAAUGAGUCAUACUUCAAUUGCUUGAAUCUUCUAUGCUCUGUUCUAGCAUGCUCUGUUUGUCCUUUAUGACUUGUCUCUGUUGUAGCAUUUUUAGGAAAUUAUGCAUGUUGAUUUGGUUUUUGAUGUCUUCACGAGUUUUGAUCCUCACAUUCGGAACUUCACAUAGAAUUUUUUUUCAAAAAAAUAAAAAGAUAGCUCGGUAAUUGCAUCGAGCCCCUCAAAAUUACUGGACAACUCGACAUUUCGCAUUCUUACUUGUUAUAGAAUUGCUUUUCAUCCAUAUGGUGCCCUAUUAUACAAAUUUCUUUAAUUAGAAUCCUCUUCUUGUUUGAACCAUAUUUAAAGCAUUUGCAAAGCCCGAUCAACUGUGCGUGGGAUGUGCUUUAGUUAGCCUUGAUAGUUAAAUGCGUUCCAUAGUUUAGAUGCACUUAUGUCUCGUCUUCAUCAAAAUUUUCUCGAACUCAUGUCUUAAUUGAUCCAAAAAUGAUUUUUGGGCAUCAUAUGGAUCUUUUUAAUGCUUUGGUUUUACUUGUCUGGUGCAUGUGGUUGUGUUUGGUGCUUGAUGAAUGAGUGAAGUGAUUUAAUAUCGUCUCACUAAUUUGUUUGAUUGAUUGAAAACCAAAGUCUAAAAGCCUCCAUGCAUGUUUACUUUCAAACUAUGCAUGUGAUUUUUAAAUAUAUGCAUAAGCAAGAUGCAUGUACCUGCGGAAUACUUUGGGUAACUUUUAGUACCCGAAUUAGGGGUUUGUUAGUAUUAGCCACAAUUUGUGAACAUAAACGUUGACUAAUUACUACAAACCAUUAAAAUGAUUGGAUAAAAGUCUUAGUGUAACUCAUUGCAUGAACAAUCAAAGGCCAACCCUGAGGCCAUUCUUGAUAAUCGUUGCUAAUUACUUUGUUUAAUGUUAUUGAUGUUAUACUUGCCACGAUCGAUUGUUAUUGCCAUGAAUUGCCUUUUCCAUUCUAAAAACUAGACUAACAUUAGAAUAAGUCCAAGAAAGCGGCUCUUGGAGAUGGCGAUUUUGAAGACGGUGAUGGUCAAUGUCCGUUCCAAUCUUUUCUAUGUAAAUGGCGAAUGGUCGAUGUCCCUUCUAACCAAUUUCCUUGUAAUAUUCAUUACCCGACAUAUGUCUUCUUAUAUGCGUUGUAUAAAUGCCUGGUGAGUUGCGAGUUCUUCCUUGCUUUCCUUUCCUUUAAUUCUGUUUUAGGAUUGCAUGCUAGAUUUACUGUUUUCCUUAAAUUGUCUUGGGUGUUUACUUAUCGCACUGUCCUUUAAAUUUCAAUUGUUUGCUUUCUUUUUUCUUUUUAAGUAGAGAUCGAAUGUCAUGAAGAUCACCUCAUUUAUAAAUUACAAGGAAAAGUAAAAAGACACGCAUGUACAUGUUAGGUAAUGUGACAAUUGUUAGGUACCGAAAGGACAUUAAUAUAAAUAUUGACAUAACCCGAGUCCGCAAGCCUUAGAUCUCUGAUUGCAUAGGUGUCCAAUGACCACUCUUAACUCUCGAUUGGGUACUUUAGUUGGACCCCAACAAUGGGGUUAGUGGCAACUCCUAAAAUGAUAUAUUAAGUUGUCUAAACAACUUAGAAACAAUAAACCCAUCAUGAGGGGUUCACAACCUUGAUUUGGCACACUCAAAGUGGUUGAGGUGAAGAGAUGAAGUGAUGCCAUCUUUAGCUUAUGUACAUUUGAGAGGACUAUCAUGAUUGUGAACCCUUAAACUCAUCUUUUUGAGAUUGAGUCAUGACUAAUCCUGCUGUCACGCGAGAUAUGAGUUUGGGAGAGCUUACGGCUGUGAUUAAGCGAACUCUGUGAUUGAUCCCAAAAAUGUGAGGGAAUUCUUAUAGUUGAGCAUCUCUAAACCUGUCGUCUCACUAUAAAACCCAAAAAACUAAGGCCAAGUCACGAUAUGCAUUUUACCCCAAUGUUUUUGGUGACACUAAAAAUCUCAAUACACAUAUUUACUCAGCAUUAGGGUUAUGUUAAAUAUCACUAUUAAAAAGGGUUAGUAUCAUGCAAAAUCAAAAUUGGUACAUCUGUCAAAUUUACCUCAAACUAAUAUUUUAAUCAUAAAAAACUCCAAACUAGUACAUUUUUGAUAAAUUUACCAUAUGUUAGUUUCUGUUAAUUUUUACCGUUAAAUUACUAAGUUGGAGGACACUUGACAAGUUGAUAAUUGUAGUAGUUUGUGGUUUUACCCUUCUUUUGUCACAUAUAUACCAGUUUGUGAUUCUUCGUAGUAUUAUUUCAAUUUAACGGAAACUAAUAGAAGGUAAAUUUGUCGCAAAUUUACUAAUUUUGGAUUUUUUGUGAUAAAAAAAUGUUUGAAAUAUAUUUUUCACAAAUGUACUAAUUUAUGAUUUUUCUGUGGUAUUAACCCAAAUAAAAAUAAUAAUUAAAUCAACCUGAAGUACUAUUCAUCAUCUUAAGUGCUUGUCCAUCGCUGCCCAAACCUGCCAAGACAUCCGACCAUGUAUCAUCUUUUUGUUUUUUUUUUAGUCUUUUGUUGUAAUCUUCUUUCUUGUUUCGGUACAUCUUUCUAGGUAAACUCUUCCAUUUCUCUUAUACUUUUUAUUUUUUUGUCAAACAUCUUUCCUCUACUUUCUUCAGUCAAAUAUUGGCAAAAUCAAUCCACAGACUUCACCACCUUGAUCACCGGCUUCUCCAAACCUCGGAAAUCUAUCCACCGGAAGAUUAGCAACGAUAGCCGAUGGUUGCAACACUAUGGCUCUCCAAGGCAUAUUCCAUUGAUAUUGUGAAAUUCCGUGGCUUUGAGAAAAAGAGGGAAAAUGUUCGACAACUAUUGAUAAAAUGGAUUAAAGACAUGGAGAGUAGCCCUAGUAAUGCAAAAGCUCAUGAAAAAGAGGAAUAAUGGAGUGACAUGGAUAGCUUGGCAACGCCAAAUCUCAGUAAGCUCAACUGCUAGCAAAACACAAAAUUGACUUUAAAUCUUAUUCUCACAACUCGUCAUGCUAAAGUUUGAGCCUAGUAAAAGGUUAGCUUGGUGAGCUGAUUGAGGGAAAAAGGAACCUUUAGAUGGACGUGACCAGAGCAAGAUCUCACUCUUGAACAUAGAGUAAGGCUCGUCGUCACCGGUUAGACUCAAGGUAGCCAAGCCCCCACAUCCUCGAUCCUAGGUUGGGGAAGUACGGACAACCUCGACCAAGGUCAUUGUCCAUGGAUGAUGAACAGUGCAUUAAAGACAGAAUAGUAAUCACGAUAACAAUGUUUCGAUUAUUUUUGCUUUCUAGUCUUAAUGCGUGGCGCCACAUCAACACUACGUUAGAUUUUAAUAGUGAUUUUUAACAAAGCCUUAAACUUAGGGUAAAUGUGUCACUCGGAUAUUAACUAGAGGUUUUUUAGUAUUUUUUUUUCAACAUCAAGUAAAUCCUAUACUAUUGUUACUAUCUUCACUUUUAUUUUUACUACAAUUCAUCAUCCCUUGAGUACCUUUUUUUUUUUUUCAUAUCACACAAAUGAUAAAAAAAAAGGAUUCUUAUCACAGAAAAUCCUAAAUUGAUACAUCCGCACAACAUUUUUUAUUCCAAAUUAAUUUUCGUGUAAAAAAAAUCCUUAAUUGUUAUAACCGUGCCACUUUUACCCCCAAAUUAAUUUUUAUGUUAUUAAAAAAAAUCCAGACUGGUACAAUCAUGCUACAUUUAAUCCAACUUUUUGUGUUACAAAAAAUUCAGAAUAGGAACUCUUAACUAUGUUAAAAGCUAAUGAUUUGAGCUUGAUAUCUUAGAAGUGAAGCAGAUAGGCAAGAAAACAAGGUAUUUAUGAGCUUGCUGAGAGUUUUAUGAAAUUGAAGUUAUCAGCGGAUUCCAUUUCAGAAUAAUUGGCUUAAAUACAUGUUGCUAAGGUUUAUUUUGGAAUAGACUACUUUUAUGGAUAUUGAGAUGACAAGAAACGAGUUAAUAAGGUCGAUAUUGAGAUUUUCAGUGAUACAAAAAUAAGUUUGAAGUAAAUUUGGUACUAACGUACCAAUUUUGAUUUUUUUGUAACAUGAAAAAUUAGUUUGGGAUAAAUGUUGUACCGGUACUAGUUUGAGAUUUUUUAUGACAUAGACAUUAAUUUGGGCUAAAUAGGAUAGGAGUGUACCGGUUUGUGAUUUUUGGUGUUAUUAUUUUGGAAAGAAUGAAAAUCGGACACAAACAUUUCAUGAAAAAAUAGUUCAAGUCUUAUCUCCUUUGAGAUGGGUGUCAAGUGUUAGCAAACAAGUAAUGUUCAUGGGAUCGUUCCUAGCAUAUGUUGAUAAAGCCGGAGUUGGGAGUGGUCAUUCUGGUACUUCUCACUUAACACUUCUCAUUAACUCCAUGUUUGUCACGUAGCUCAGUGUUACUUUUCGAUUAUUUCCAUGUCAUCCUGAACUAUUAUAUGUUAUUUUUCAAAUUUUAUUAAUAGAUAAAGUCAGUAUUUAAACAUCUUUGAAUGCUAAAACAAUCUAGAGUAAGAUUUGUCGAAAUAAUUAAUUUAAACUUAUAAAAAAUGAUUGUUCCCUCUCGAUUACAAUGAAACUUUUCUCUCUCGACAUGCAGAGUCGCCUGUCUAUCGCCAUGGUAGUUUUCAAACCCUAAUCCCCCAAAUUUACCGUUUUGUCUCCAUCCACCAUCUUCGGAUAAUCCCCUCUUCCAUACAUCUAGCAGGAUUUCCUUGUUUGGGUUGCUGCAUGUCUGUAUUCCGUCCACUUCGGCCACCUUCGGAACUCUGAGUUUGGUUCGUUCCCAUGCAGUACUUCUCCUUCCAUUGUUAAUUGUCCUCAUCGCAUAUGGCCUGCAUCAAUCUCUGGCUUAUUGGUUUUCUGAAUGGCAUCGGAUGACCAUGAGGAAUCUUCGCGUUUGUCAGCACUUUGCAACCAGUUAGGUCGUCUUACUACAGAACACACUAUAGAAGACUGGAAUGAUGCACCGUCCCCUGAAAAAAUAGCAGAAUGUCGUUUGACUUUAGUAGGACUCAUUCUAUCCAACCCUACUAUAAAUAUUCCAGCUCUCCACAGUACGUUAACGCGCGUCUGGCGCAUUGACCAGGUAGCAAUUUCACAGCCAGAGGCAGGUAUCUUUGUAUUUAAAUUCCAGACUCAAUCAGCAAAACAAAAAGUUAUUGAAGGGGGACCUUGGAAUUUCUCUGGCCACUUGGUUAUCCUUAAACCAUGGAUCCCUAAUACUCCUUUACAUUGCUAUGACUUUUCCAUAUGUGCAUUAUGGGUUCAUGUGGUUGGUUUACCUUUAGAAUGGUGUACGGAAUCCAUGAUCCGCAGAGCGGUGCAAUAGUUGGGUCGGGUAUUGGAAAUUAGAAUUGAUACAAAAGAUGGAAACUCAUCCAGACCUGUGAGAGCCAAAGUGGAACUAAACUUGCAGGAUUCUCUUAAGACAGGGAAGUUAAUUCGACUUGAGGGUAAGCACCUAUGGCUCGAUUUUCGGUAUGAACGACUGUCGCAUUUUUGCUACUCGUGUGGAAAGUUGGGUCAUUAUGUGACAUAUUGUGCGGAUAUACCCUUUGAUGAAGCAUUAUUAGCAGGUAAAGGUAACAUGGCCUAUGGCAACUGGCUUCGGGCUGAGGUUAGGGUGCAUAGCCCGUAUUGGCAAACUUUCUAUACGCCACAAAACAAUACUGAUCAACAGGAAGAAAACGUACCUGAAACUCCUCCCUCACAAAUUCCCCAAGUUCCUUUAUUGCCACGUCUAGUUACUAAUGAUCCUGUGCCAUCACAUGUCCCUCUAUUACUUCAACCAGCAAAUGUGGAUCCUAUGCACCAGAAUGAGGCUAUUGCUACAAGUAAUACCACCCAGCGAGUGGUCCCUAAUCAUCAGCUAGUUAUUCCUGCACCCGAUAAGUUAAAAGGUGUUCAGCAUCAGCCCAUGGAAGCAAAGGAGCACAAGAAGUUGAAGAAUGCGAGAUUGACCCCAAAACUAGGGGUGGCCAAGAAGUUAAAAAGGUACAACCCCUAUGAGUCCAAAAGUUUGACGAUACAAGAUCAUGAUGACACUAAUCUCAUGGAAACACCAGUUUAUAAGGCUGAGGAAAUCGGAGCGUGGGCUUCGGUGGCUGGCCCUCAACAGCCACCACCUCACAAAUGAAGAUGAUCUGCUGGAACUGUCAGGGAUUGGGCAACUCCCUGACAGUUCAAGCUUUAAGGGCCAUGUCGGCCAAGGAAAAGCCCACAAUAGUUUUUUUGUCGGGAACCAAGAACUAUGAAGUGAUGGUUAGAAGGAUUCAGCGUCGACUUCAUUUUCCUAAGUCAUAUAUCGUAGACCCUACAGGUCUGGCGGGAGGGAUGGUGCUAUUCUGGACUAAUCAGGUAACUAUAGAUGUGCUCCGGUCCACACCUAACUAUAUAGACAUGCUUUAUCAUGAAUUCCAAAAUGAUCGGACUAUGUGUAUAACUUGCAUUCAUGCUCCAUAUGUCUACCAUACUCGUCAACUUUUUUGGAAUGAACUUCGGGAGAUUAAUUUUGCUAACACAUUCCCUUGGUUAUGCGUUGGGGAUUUCAAUGACGUUCUUUAUCCAUGGGAAAAGUUUGGAAAAAAACAAGCAGAUCGACAUUGAAUGUUAUCUUUUCGGGCACUUAUCAAUGAUUGUUCUCUUAUGGAGUUACCAAGUAAAGGAUGUAAGUUUACCAGGAUGAACAAUCGCACCGGAAAUGAGCUGGUGAAGGAAUGUCUGGACAGGGCAAUGUGUUCGAUGGAUUGGAGACUUUUAUUUCCUGCUGCUGAAGUUUCUGUGCUUCUUGCUAUUGGGUCUGACUAUAGCCCAUUGAUAAUUAAUUCUUCAGCAUCCUACAAGACCCCGAAGAAAUCCUUUACUUUUGAAGUUUUAUGGAAUGAAGAUAAGGAAUGCAGUGAACUAAUUUCAACAGCAUGGAAUUUAGUCAGGGUAAAUGGAUCAGGCAUCAUCUCAAAGUUACAACAUACAUCUACAGUCCUAACAAGGUGGAGUCGCUCAAAAUUCUCCAGAGGUGAUCUUAAAAUAGCAUAUUUACAGCAACAACUUCGACAAAUUACCAAUCAGCAGCAUGCAUAUCAAAAUAGAUCUGAAGUUACUAAGCUCAAGGAGGAAAUUAGACAGAUUUGGCAGCAAGAAGAACAAUUCUGGGCUAUGCGAUCUAGAAUCCAAUGGUUAAGGUGGGGCGAUAAAAACACCAAAUUUUUUCAUGCGACAACUCUUCAAAGAAGGCAACGAAAUCGCAUUACUAUGCUCCAAGAUCAUAACAACCGGUGGAUUAGGGAUCCCUCUGCUUUACAGGUAAUGACUUGUAAAUUUUUUUUUGACAUAUAUACUACAGUGGGUCCUCGCAAUUACACUCCUAUCCUCCAACAAUGUCCAAGGGUUGUUACUACACAAAUGAACAAUGCUUUACUGGAAGAGGUGAGUCUAGAGGAGAUUCGUCAGGCUACUUUUCAACUGGGGUCUACUAAGGCACCAGGCCCUGAUGGUUUCAACAGGAUAUUCUAUCAAUCUCAUUGGGAGGUAAUCAAAGAUGAUCUGUUUCUUCUAGUUAAGAAGUUUUUCGAAACAAGCCAGAUGCCACCUAUCUUGAAUCGCACUAUUCUGGUUUUGAUUCCCAAGACGCCUCAUCCAGGAAAAAUAGAACACUAUAGACCAAUUAGCCUUUGUAAUUUCGCCUACAAAGUCAUUUCCAAGGUGCUAGCCAACCGCCUCAAACAUUGGUUACCUCAGUUGAUAUCUAUGGAACAAACUGCUUUUGUCAAUGGACAGAUCCAAGACAACAUCUCAAUCUUUCAAGAAGUUCUUCAUCAAUUUAAAACACGACAGCGGAAAACAAAAUUCAAUGCAAUUCUUAAGACUGAUAUGCAGAAGGCCUAUGACAGAAUUGAAUGGGAUUUUCUUAGGGACUACUUAAUUCAGGUGGGCUUCCAUCAUAUGUGGGUACAAUGGAUAUUACAAUGUGUCUCAACUACAUCCUAUAGUAUCAGAUUCAAUGGGGAGCUACUUCCUUAUAUUUUCCCUACUCGUGGUCUAAGACAAGGUAACCCUCUCUCACCAUAUAUCUUUAUCCUGGUGGCGAAUGUUUUGUCAAUAUUGAUCAGCCAAGCAGUUAAUAUGGGCCAACUAAAGGGUAUCAGAUUCAAUAGGUGGUGUCCCACCCUUUCCCAUUUAUUUUUUGCUGACGAUGCAAUCUUUUUCCUCGAUGGCAGCAUUCGUAAGUGUCAAAACCUGGCUAAUAUCUUAAAUCAGUACUGUCUAGCCACGGGCCAAGCAUUGAACCGCAACAAAUCAGGGCUUAUUUUUAGUCGGCAUUGCCCUAUGAGACUGCGGGAAAAUAUGUCUCUCGAACUAAGAAUUCCUGUAUCACUACGGGCUGGUAACUAUCUGGGUAUCCCUUCAGACUGGGGUCGCUCCAAAAAGGACAUGUUUUCGUGGAUCCUAGCACGUGUUCACUCAAAACUCGAAGGAUGGAAGGAAAAGCUCAUAUCAAAGGGGGGUAAAGAAACUCUUAUCAAGUCUGUCAUCCAGGCGAUUCCGCAUUAUGCUAUGUCUGUUUUUAGAUUGCCCUUAUCGUUGUGUAAAACUAUUGAGAAGAACAUUGCAAGGUUUUGGUGGAAAACUGAUAUGCACAGGGCAGGCAUUCAUUGGAAGAACUGGGAAACUCUUAAAAGUAGUAAGGUCAAGGCGGGCUAGGCUUUUGGGAUCUCAUAGAAUUUAAUAAAGCCAUGCUCGGCAAGCAAGCAUGGCGUGUACUCCAACAAUCUCAGGCUUUAUGGGUUCAACUUUUCAAAGGGCUAUAUUUUCACAACACAGAAUUUAAAUCAGCACCCAAAGGCAGUCGUCCAUCAUGGGUUUGGCAGAGUAUUCUUACAAGUCGAGAUGCUAUCCUACCAUAUACUAGAUGGUCAGUAGGCAAUGGGAGGAAAAUCUGUAUCCGUGAGGAUCUAUGGUUAAAAAGUGGAACCUUGUUUGGUCUUGCCAACAGAGAGGACCCGAAGUUAGUGGCUGACCUAAUAGAUGCUACUCACAAUACUUGGAAUGUACCUUUGCUACAUCGCAUUCUAGAUGAGCCAACUGUUAAAGAAAUUUUGACCAUACCAGUUAGACCUCUUUAUGUAGAAGACAAAUUGGUCUGGCCAGCUACAAAGGAUGGCAUGCACACAGUCAAGAGCAAUUAUCACAUUCUAACAGACAAAUCCAGCCUCAAUAACAACCAGACAACAUCAACCUCUCAUCGGAUACCUAUUACUCUCUGGCGCAAAAUCUGGUCUUUGAAAACUGCCCCCAAAGUCAAAACCUUUCUCUGGUCACUUUGUCAAAAUGCUGUAGCAUCCCGAGCAAACCUAUUCCGCCGAAGCAUUACUUCAGAUCCUUACUGUCAACUAUGCAAUCAGCAAAAUCCAGAAACAAUAGAACAUCUAAUACUAUUGUGCCCAUGGACUCGCCUUAUUUGGACUCAUCCAGCAAUCAACAUUGACAUUCAGCAUAAGCACACCCAUAGAUUUGAUGUUUGGCUUGCUGCAAAAUCAAUAUAAACAGCGAACUCACCUUCUUUAGAGCUUCUUGCAAAUGUCUGCUGGCACAUCUGGAAAAUGCGGAACAGCUACCUCUUCCGCAAUCAAUGGCUCCAUUCCUCCAUGGUAGUCGAAACAGCUUUGACGGAGACGAGGCUUCACCAGAUCACCUCUACCUCCCCUUCCUCUGGGCGGCAAUCUGUGCUCAACCUGAACCCCUAUCAGCUAUGGAGACCGCUUGAUUUGGGUACAUUAAAAUGUAACGUUGAUGCUUCAUAUCAACCAGAGAGCACAGAAGGGGCGAUGGCUGCGGUAUUUCGAGAUCAUCAGGGAAGACUUAUUGAGAUCUACACCAAACGUUUUCCCGUUGCUUCAGCACUGGUAGCGGAGUUCCACGCCCUCUCCUUCGCGAUCCAGCACUUGAUAGCACAAGGCUUACAGCAUGCUAGGGUUGUGAUCGAAUCGGACUGUAGAUCAGUGGUGGAUGCCAUCACAGGAAGGAGAUCUGCGCCAUGGGAGCUUCGUCCCCUGCUUGCGGAGGCUGCUGCACUGCUGCCGCUGUUCCCUAAUCUUAUGAUACAGUGGUGUCCUCGGGAAGCAAAUGGAGUUGCAGAUUGGGCUGCAAAGGCCCAGCGAGAUUCAACUUUGGCCCACAAUUGGAAUAUCUUCCCCCCUCUUAUUUUGAUGAAUCUGCUAUAUGUCAAUGCCCUUCUGGCCGGUUGUAAAUUGACGUUUCUAUGAAUAUAUGCUUUCCUUUGACCAAAAAAAAAAAAAUUAAGAAUAAAUUAGAGAUGUGUGUUUUCUGUGUCUUAAAAUGGUAAGAGCACAUAGAAACAUGGGAUUGAUGCAAAAAGAUAUUCAGAACUCCAAGAUGUGGUGCUGACUAUGAUGGACGCGACACGAGGUUUGUUAAUAUAGUAUUUGUAUUGUUGUUUCUUGGUUAUUAUCUACCUCUUCUCUCUUUGUACUUCAGAUUGAGAGAUUUAGGAAAUAUCUUGAAAUACAAUUAAAAAAAUAUGUCAUCUUGAAUAAAAUUAAUGAUGAAAAAAUUAUCCUAAUCAAUUUAAUUCACUUAAGCCUAAGAUAAUAAGAUUACUAAUACAAUUUAAAUUACAAAAGGUAUCUAAAUUAGUUUGUUGAAGUAUCAUGUGGCUUGACAAUGAAUCUUAUAUGCUUUAUCUAUAUGUAUAGCGUUGAAAAUACUUCAAUAUUUAUUUAUAAUUAGCUCAUCCCAUUUUGCAUUUCUUCCUCCUUUCGUUGGUGUUGGAAAUACUUCAAUUCACAUGUUUUGCGAGUUUUGCACUUUUAUGUCUCGUCUUACCAAUUAAGUUAAACUUUUGACUAGAACAAUUGUGGGCAAAUAUGAUUCGACCGCUAUGAAAUUUGACGCUUUAGCCAGAAAAUCUUUCUUCGCCACAUGUCAUUAGACACGAAAUUUUGUGUCGCCGAAGCUACUACAACCCACAUAACUUUCGUUGGAUAUGGUCGGCCCUUUAGCCACGAAAUAAAAUCUGUCGUUAUUGAGUGUCUAUUUUACGCCUUUUGCCAUGAAAUAUCCCGUGGUGAAAAGUAUACAUUUCUGCACAAAAUUACUCGAUUUUGUUUCUAAAGGUGUAUUGCCACAUGCCUUUAGCCGUGACAUUUCCGCCACCAAGAUUUCCGUGGCCGCGAAUUUCCAGGCUUCUAGCCCCGAAAUUCUGCCGCGGUGAAAGGUCGAUUUUCUUGUAGCAAGGAUUCACCGCUAACAAUGGAAAAAAGUGGAUAAGGCCGUACGUGAAGAACACAUUUUUUAUACUGAUGGUGGAAAAGACAUGGAUGUACAGAAAACAUGUCACUGAUCAUACAUAUGAUGGAAGGUACAUACAAGAUACUGGAAAAACAUUUAUUCGCAUUAAAAUGGCUCAUUAGAAAGCAACGUGAACGAUAAAUAUAAUUCCGAAAGACAUCUCAUAUAAAUCUACAUAUUAUAUAUUAUACAUAUACGAACAAUCUUUACAAAGAAAGGGCAGACCCCAACAGUUUAAAGCUACACUUAGGUAACCUCAUAUGGUACUAAAAUCUGCGGGGGCUGGUGGCUGGAGGAGGAGUGAGGAAAGGAAUGUAGGGAUGCUCAGCAUUGGGGGCAAGGUGGUUGGCAUGGUCGGCAUGUUUGGAAGUGGCGGCAGAGCAGUGGUGGGCAAUGUUGGCUGGGUGGUGGCUAGUGUCGGCAAUGUGGGCUGAGGUAGGGUCGUAGGGAUGGCAGGCAAUGUGCGCAUGGACAGCAAUGGUGGCAGCGAAGUGGGUAUUGAUACUGUUGGUAAUGUGAGAAGGGAUGGUAUGGAUGGCAUAGUUGUUAAUAUCGGUAGUGUUAGUGUUGUAGGAAGGGGCCGUAUGGAUAGUCUAGUUGUUUGCCACAAAUGACAAGUUCUGAAACUUAUAUUGGCAGUUGAGAGAACUAUAGCGAUGAAGAGAACAAAGCUCUUUGGGUGAUCAGCCAUCUUGGUAACUGCAGCAUGGAUGUUAUGUUGUGAAAGACUCAAGGACUUGAAAUCAAUGAGCUAAGAGGCAUGGAUUGCUACUUGCGUGAGUAAAUGGAGGACAGAGAUGGGAGUUUAUAUAGCUAGAGAUAGUUCAAAUAGAAUAUUGGGUUGUAAUAAUAAGUUGGUGACUGGCUUUUGGGUAUGGUUAGGAAAAAGAACAAAGAACAGAACAUCUCUUUAAUUGGUUCUUUGUUAGCUCACCUCCUUAGCUCAAAUCUCCUGAAAGAUGGCCAAUGCUGGCUCGGGGCAUCAUCACGGCUCCUUAUUGUUAGCAGACUCGGAUUAGUACAACUGCUCACCAUGAAGGACCGUGCUAGGCUAAGGCCCAAGAGGGUCAGUCCGUGUUGUGUCUAGGCCAGCACAGCUUAAUAUUCUUAGGGUAGGGGUUCGUUAAUGUACAUGUUAAGAUAAGCAAAUGCUAAAGUUCAUGUCCUUUGCAAACUGUGGCCUUUCAAAACCAUAGAUUUUAAAGGUAAUGUGUGAGUGUAAUGAGUCGAAUUCAGGUCUUGAGUCGGAAAGAGAAUUUCAAAGUGUAAUUGUCGGUGUGGUAUAAAACCGAUAAGUUAUGAUCUUGAUAAAGGACAAAGGAUAUAUAACGCAAAGUACUGCAUGAAAAUUAAAGAAGAAAAGAAAAGGAUGUCAUAUAAUUUGGAGUAGAAUUAAGUAUGUUAGUUUUUUCUUUUUUCCUUUUUUUUUUGGCGAGAGAAGAAUGCUAGUUCACUAUUGUCUUAAAUGCAAUAUCUCUGAGUACCAGAAACUUAUUCUUUUAGGUUAAGUUUAAUAUCGACAAAAAGAAAAGGGUUAAGUUUAAAUUAUCAAAAAUAGAGGAAAUAAUGGACUUCUAUCAAAUUGAGUGAAUACAAGUAUUAUUCCCUAAAGAUUUCUUGGUCAAUGUUUUUUUCUCAUUUUUUUAAUUCAAUACUUUAAAGUGUACUACUAUGUAAUCUUCAGGGAAAUUUUCCAAUAAUAGCCUAAAAUGGGAUUAAUUUCUCAAAAGAUGAUGUAAAGUGAACCUUUAUUUCAAAUAAAUGCCUCAAGUAACCAAGUUAAUCUCAAAUAAGGAUAUGAGCUCGCCAACCAGUCAAUCACUCGAUAAGCAUUUGAUUUUUCUAGUGGCUGGCAAAGGGUAUUUUUGUCCAAAGCAAAACCUAAAGAUUAAAAGAGAGAGAGAGAGAGGAAGGGACAAAUGUAUUGGAAACCCUAAAACUUAUCAUGAAAGUGUAAUUAAGUUUUAAAACUUUCAAAAAGUGCAAGUAAAUCCUAAAACUUAUUGAAUAGUCCAAUUAAAUCCUCCCAUUUAUGACAUUUUUUUGAAAUUUUUAAAAUUUGAUUGCACUUUUGUAAUAAUUUUUAGGAGUUGAUUGUACUUUUUGAAAGUUUUAAAACUUGAUUGCAUUUCAUGAAAAUAUUAUGACUUGAUUAUAUUUUUUGAAAGUUUGAAGACUCAAUUGCACUUUUAUGAUAAGUUUUAAGAUUUUUAGAGCAUUUAUUUUUGUAGUAGAAUUGCAAAAGAAAAAAAAGGGGAAAAAAAAAAAGAAUCUCCUGAAACACCACCUUCAUGAACAUAGCACCCCAACCAUGUUGAAGAUCCGACAGCUUCAAGUCACUCCAAUCAGACUGCCAUUAAAUUUUUUUCCUUUCGUCAAUAUUUUUUCUUCUCAAUCCCGUCCCAUCAACCAUUACCAGUGAUUCUUUCUUCACUUGAGUCCUCACUCCUACCUAUAUGCUUCGCAGCAUGUCUCCGGAUUUCCAUAGGUCCUUCGUCUACACCAUUCUUGGCAAUAUUCAUAUGUUUUGUUCAUGUCCUGAUUGCUGUUGUUCGGUGGUUUUUUAUGAUGCAGGAAGGUGGCGACGAUCUAGUGGGUGAGGUCAGGAACUAGAGCUGCGCUAUCAAUUUGGCGUUCAACGAUGAUGGGAAUGACUACGAUGAUGAGGACGAUGGUGCAGAGAGGCUUGGCAUCAAGCUCCACCACCUGAGAUUUGCAAUUGAACUCCAUCAUGACAUUGAGCAUCAGCCGACCCCAGGCAAGGGUUGACAGUACUCGUCGGCGAAGUUGGAAUCGUGUUGGCACACACAUAUUUGAUCAUCUACAAUCUCCUUUUCUCCUUUGGUUUGAUGGGGUGUGAUUGAGAAGCUGUUGAAUCUUCGACAUGGUUGGGGGUGCCGUGUUCAUGUUGGUGGUUCAAGCGAUUUUUUUUGGCUUUUCUAGUUUUCUAUUAUUUAAUAUUUUUCAAUUUUUUUUGAACUAAAAUGCCCUGCUAGCUUAGGCGAAAGUGGCCCUUGACGAGGUCCAGCGGGUAGCCAAUGGAAGGAAAAAGGGAAAAAAGAAGAAGGAAAAAGUAAAGAAAAGAAAUAAAAAAAUUCAGAAAAAAAAUAUUAUUAAACAUUAUCCACGUUAGUGUUAGUUAUGCCACGUGGGAUGAUAAAUGUUCAUGUCGGUUAUUUCUAAUUAAAAUUGACCGAAUUGACUCAAUUAGUAAUAUAUAUAUAUAUAUAUAUAUAUAUAUAUAUAUAUAUUUAUAACUAAAUUAGUAAAAAUUUAAUAAAUUUAAGACUAUUUGGAUAAUUUUCCCAUUCUUUGACAAUGCUUGCAAAGAUUAUGUACACAAAGGAGGAUCAAGGAUCUCCGUCCUCCUAGGAACAUCGUUAACAUUAAUAAAUGUUUACUGCCAACGGCAGCUUCGGAUUUCAGAAGGUCAGACGUCCCAGUUGACAUGGCUGAGGCCAUAAUGGCCUUAAAGCUAGCUAAAGACCUUGCCUUACCUUCCGUGGAGACUGAAUCAGACUGCACUCACGUGAUGUCUCUUUAUCCACCAGCGCUGUCCGCCAAGACAUCAUCCAUUUCAGGUCUGCUUGUUCAGACGCUCCUCUGUUCGAAGACAAGGGAAUAUAGUGGAUCGUAUUCUAGCUCAAAAGGGCAGACAUUCGACCAGAAACUGUGCGGGUGGAGGAAGGACCUGAUUAUCUUCUUCUGCUUUUACAGUCUUUACGGAUUCCACCUCUCGAGUUGAUUAAAAUAAAAAAAGUUCUUUUCCCACUUAAAAAAAGGGGUGCCUUCGAUUGAUGGUGAUUAUCAUAUUGAAAAAGGGAAAGUACCCUUGAUCAAAAACGUUGUAUUGACGAAAAAAAUGUGUUCAAACUUGGAGAUUUGUCAAUAGACGAUAUGUCCAGGUGUCACAUUAGCCAUUAUUAAUUAUCACCAUAUUGUUCUUAUUCUAUUAGUUUUGGGAGUGAGUAAGCGAUUUCUGCAAGCUGAAUUAUUCAAAAAAUUUCAGGUACUCCAACCUACCAAGGUCUUGAAUUCCAACUACGUUUAUGUAAUUAAUUUCUCCAGACUCAAUGGCUUUAAAAGGCCAAGCCUUUUCAAUAGAACUACACCCAGGAGUACAAACAUUUCUAAGGACUCCCACCCUGUCAAGCCUUUUCAUUUCGAGUUUCAACUAAGCUUUUACAAAUCAUCGCAUUUAAUUUCUUUAGAUAGGAUGAUUAUGAGAGGUCUAGCCUUUCCAUAGAAUUGCACCCAGUGAAAAUUAGCAUUUGCAAGAAGUGUUAUCAACGCCUCACAUUUAGACUAAGUUUUCAUAACUUGUUCAAUCUAGUUUCUCCCAACGCAAUGAUUUUGAAAGGUCCAGCCCUCUAAUGAAAGUACACCCUGUGAAGAGUAAAUCAUCCAAGAACUCUGAUCGACCAAAGUCUCGGAUUUCAUUUAGGUUUUUGCAGUCUUUGGCAUCUAAUUUCUUGAGAAGCUCCGAUUGUGGAAGGUCUAAUAUCUCAAAGGAAGUGCACGCAUAUAUGUCCAACCUUUUCAAGAAGUCCAAGCUAUCAAAGUCUUGAAUUUCAAUUAAGUUCCUACAAUUUUGAGUGUCUAGUUCCUUUAAACGCUCCGAUUUUAAGAGGUCCAAUCUUUCCAUGGACUUGCACCCGUAGCAUUCAACUCUUCCAAAUUUCCAACCUAUCAAGAUCUUGAAUUUCGAUGAGUUUUUUUGCAACUUGUAGCUCGUAAUUUCUUCAUAUGCCCCCAACUUGGACAGUCUAGCCUUUCACUGGAAGCGCAAUGACAUAUUUCCAACUGUUCCAAUAUCUCUAGCCUUUCAAGUCCUUAAUAUCUGUCUUGCGUCUGUCUUUCGAUUUCCAUGGAGGCUUCAGGGUUUCUGAGACCUGCGAACCAUGAAUGGGCAUCAGUUCAAAGCAUUCUCAGAUAUAAGUUUCAACAUGGCACAUUGCGAAAUAGUAAGGUAUGCCAGUGUUGAGGGAAGCGCUGAGAUGCAUUGGAGAGAAGCGCAGCAAUCAAGGAAGACUUUCUUUUGACGAAUUAGGUGAGAAAGUCGAGGAAGGUCAAGUUGGUAGGAAGCUCCGACGGCAACUGAAGCAACCGCACAAAUCAGGGUGUUGGAGAGACAAAAGAAUGCGUAUGCUCUCUGGUAAGCUAGAAAUUUCUGUACGAAGAAAAUCCAUUCGUCUUGAGCGAAGACAAGUUCCCAAUAUCCCCGGUAACUUUCCCACACUCCCAACAGCAUUCGGUAGCUCUUUUUAUCUUGCUAUCACUAAUAUCAAGCAUUUGAAAUUCCGCAAAUUCCCUAUGCAUUCAGGCAAUUCCUUAAUUGAGGUGCUGGAUAAGUUCAGUUUAGUCAACAAUUCCGAGUCCCACUUAAUUCGGGGGUCUCCCUCGAACGACUGUUUUCUAAUGAGAUGAGCCGCAACUUCACAAGGGACCCAAUGCUUAUAGGAAGUCACAUAAGCUUAGAGUAAUAUGUCAAAUCAAGGGUCGACAAAUUCGUCAAACAGGCAAUCGAUUCCGUAAGUCGAACGAUGUAUAAUCAUUGGCAUUAAGUGUCUUUAGCUUCUCCGAGAGCCGAUAGACAAAGGAAAUUCUGGUAUUCAAAUUCCAUCUAGAAGAAGUUUCUUCAAAUUUCGUAGUUUAGUCACUUCCACCGGUAGUUCUCCGAAACUCCCACAUCACAUCAAGUGCAAGCAAAUGAGGGCCUUCGCUCCUGAAGUGUCGUUUUGAUCCAGUUGACAACAAUUUUUAAGGAUCAGACUACUUUUAAAAGCCAAUAGAAGAAACUACCUUUUAAACGUUGGCUAAGGUUGAGAGCUUUUUGAUUAUUUGCUUGGCUCAAAAGUUCGGGUAAAUGACAGAUGGCAUUACUCAUUCCACAAACAUUAAGGAGUAUUCUUUGGGCUCGUCUAUUAUUUCCGUUGGAACUUUAGGUAUUGUUCACCGAAGAAUCGACAAAGGAUGUGAAGAAUCUUUAGCUGAUUCUCGGACCAAAAACACAAUUGACAAAAAAAUUAGAAGUACCGAAAGUAGAGAGAAUCCUAGCCAUGUAAAAAGAAAAUGCAAUGUAAAAAUAAAUUGAAAAUGAAAUUGAACAAUCGGUGUUUAUUAAUUGAUUGGCCGUAACUUGCAUAAACUACAAUGGAAGUAUUUAUAUUUGCUACUGCUAGAUAACAACGGUUACAAAGAACUUAAAUACAUCAUAUGCAACUCCUAUAAAUCAGCAUCUUGUAUUUACAUAAGGGUCAUAUGACUCCACUACUUGACAAUUGCUUUUUCUCCACGUUCCAUGCCCGACAUAAUCAGUUACUUCCAAAGCUCUUCCUUCCACCAAUUGACGGUUGCAAUAAACCACGUUUCUCGACCCUUAUCAUUGGUGGAGAUUCAUGAUUCCAUCAUCUGACGGUUAUGUUGGUUUCACUUCUUCAUAGCUAGGCCCCAUAUUGUCGGCUUCAUUACUUAGAUAACUACUCUGUGUCUAGCUCAUUGUAAAUUGCGUUAGUCUGUCGACUAGGUCAAGCAUCAGUUACCGAUACUCAUGCUCUAGGACUCGGUUAUUUCCAUUUGACUUCCUGUCGGCUAAAACUAGUUAUCUUGUCGAUUAAAUGAGUUUACCAAUUAAUCGCCCUCAAUCCUUAGCAAACUCUACUUCUGCUGUAAUCUGCUCGAUCUCCCUCAGUCCGAGUCGAUGGUCAAAGACUAGGGCAUUUUUGGUGUCAACGAAUAUAUCAUCGAUUCAUAACAUAUAAACAUGGAUUCAUGGUCAGCAGAAUUCAAGUUACAAUUUUGUUGAAAGAUCCAAAAAUUCUCGAUGGUUUUGAUUUUGCAUUGUUUCCUAAUUUGUUCACGACCACACCAUUGGGAGAAGAGUCAGUUCUUGCUUUUGGUGUUGACCGAUACUGAUUACCUUAAUCAACUAAUGCAGACAGCUUUGUGAGAUAAAUUACGUGAAACACAAUAGCAGGACAAAUUUUGUGCCAAGAGGUAGUGUACGCAUACAGGCCAAUUUUCCUCUUGUAAGUUGGCCUCACCUAGCCACUGGGAAGACUUGAGCCUCGCCAGGGCUAGGAGAGGCUUGCCCUUGCCAAUGACCAGCAGGGGUGAGCUUCACUAGAGGCCAAUGAGUCGACCUUGCCAACCCUCAUCUCUAGCUGGUCUCUGAGGCUUGGCGACUAGAUAGAGGAGGAAGAAUGGAAGAAAAGAAAAAGGAGAAAGGAAAAAAAAAGGAAAAUUAAAAUAAUAAAUAAAUAAUUUAAAAAUAUUAUUAAAAAUCAUUAACAAUAACGUUGGUUGUGUCAUGUAAGACGGCUAGCAUCCAUAAAAUUGAUUGAAUGGAUUUAAUUGGCAAAAUAUGAAAAAAAAAAAAAGUUUAGGAUCCAAUUGGCACAAUUAAAUGGUUUAUGACUGAAUUGACAAAAAUACAAGAUUUAAAACAAGUUUGUCUGUUUGGAUUUGACAAAGGGAGAGCAUUGUGGGGGUUCUCAAGUAAGGGUGUUUGUGGUCGGGGCAGCCACGCUGUGAUGCACGGAGUGCAACGUCAACAUUGUGAGGCUACGAUUACUUCAUAUUGUACCAAUAAUCUCUUUUCAUCCAUUAACGAUUUAAAUAUUUUGUAACAAGGGAAUGGUGCAAAGUUCAUUAAAUAUGAUAUUUUUGCAUACACACAAAGCGGAUGCAGUUUUGCUAAUAGUUUUAUAAAGGAAACUUAUUAUUGGAUUAUGUAUGACUCCACUCAAAAGUAUUGACCAGAAAUAAAAAAUAAAAUAAAAAGGAGAGGAACAAAAAUAACAAUUUUUUUUCCUAAUGAAAGGAGAAAUAAUAUUUUUAUUUACUAAGAAACCUUUAAGGAAUAAUACUUAUAUCACUCAAUCUGAUGGUAUAAGCUCGGUUAUCUCUCUCUCUCUCUCUCUCUCUCUCUAAAUAAUAUAUACUCGAACUUAAACUAUAAACAUAAGGCUUUUGGUACGAGGUGAUAUUGCAUUCUAGACAAUAAUCAAUUAUUCUUCUCUUGCCAAAAAAAAAAAGAAAAAAAGAAAAAAAGGAACUACCUUUCUUAAUUUUGCUCCGUAUUCUAGGACAUCGUUUUCUUUUCUUCAUUUAUUUCUACUACAAUACUUCAUAUCACAAAUUCUUUGUUCAUUACGAAGACCGUAAACUAUCAAUUUUUAUACUACACCAGCAAUUGCACAUCAAAAUUCUCUUUCCCCUUCAAAAUCCGAAUUUGAUUCAUCGUACUCAUGCGAUAUCUUUAUAAGUCAUUAGUUUUGAAUGGCCUAAGUUUGCAAAUGACCUGAAAUUCAGCAUUAUGUAUAUCAACAAACCUCUUCUCGAACAAUGGUAGCCGGGCCGUGCUAGGUGGAACCUAUUAGUUAAGUAGUACCGACACUAACACGUGACACGCGCGACGAUAUGACACGACACGCCAACAAACAAAGAAUUCUGACAUAUUGGGACACAUUGUAUAUAUAAUAAAUUAUCAUUUUUAUGAUAAUUUCAAUCAAAUUAAUUUGAAUCAAAUUCAUAAAUAAAUAAAUAAAUAAAUAAGCCUAUAAUGAAUAUACACUUCAAACAUUAAUUCACCAUUUAUUAACAUCAUUCAUUGUUUCAAUUUAACAAAUUCAACUCUAUUUCAAUAAUUUAUAAAACUUGGAGAAAAAACAAGCAAUCUAUAUUCUGGACUCCAUGUUAGAUUUGUUGGAAAAGGAGAAAAAAAAGGAACUUAAGGGGUGGAUUGUAUAUCACGGGAAGUGAGAGUCAAAAAAGAAGAGAAGACUAGGUUUUUCUUCUUUCUCCCAUUAUUAUUUUUAUUAUUGUGUUUUAUUUUUUCACUUAUAUAUUUUGACCUCUCAUUUAUUGAAUUUUUAAAAUUGACUUCAAUAUCGGAAUCGCGUGUCGGAAACUCGUAUGUUAAAAUUUCAACUCGAGUGUUGGAGAGUCUUGAGAAAGUUGACCAAAGUUUAGAUUUUCCAACACAUGUUGACCAAGUGUUGAAGAGUGUCUAAGAGUUUCGGAGAGUGUCGAACACGUGUCGAAGUGUCCGACAUGACACGAAGGCUCUUGGAGAGUAUCGGUGCUUCAUAGCCUAUUAGUAAUAGGUAGUUGUGUUGAUGCCUGGACUUGCCCGCGUCCAACCUUUUAUUCUUUUUAAUCUUUUUCAGAGGUGAUGAAUUUUCAUUGGAACAAAAGUGGAGAUAAUCACGGCAGUACAAGAGACGUAAAUGACUGACUUUUAAUAAAUUAAACUAUGAAAAGAAAUUGCUCAUAGUACGGGAGAAGUAGGAGGAAAAUAGGGAGAGCAAUAAUUGACGAGUCUGUUUAUUGUGCAUUUGGUAACUUUUUUUUUUCUCAAGAAUAAUUUCUAUUUAAAAAUAUUUUUUUUCAAUUUCUAUUCUCUGAACUUUUGAGUAAAAGAAUGUAUUUAGGACAUGUAUGACAAAAUUUAUGGAACAUAAUUCAAUUUCUAAUUUCUUAAUUUUUAUUCCCUAAGCGAGUUUCUAAGUAAAUAAAUGCAUUUUGAUAACAACUCAAAAUUUUUAUUUUUGAAAUAGAAAUUUGUUUGAUAACAAAAUAAAAAUUUUAUUUCUAGGAGGGGCAGCGUUUGACGUCUAGCGGCAGGCAUCUGGUGACCGGUGUCAAGCAAGCAGCGUUUGGUGGCGAGCGGCAGGCGGCCAGUGUUUGGCAGCGAGCUGGUGGCGUUCGGGCCGACGGUGGGUGUUUGGCGUCCCACGGGCAAUGUGUAAUGACGAGAGUAAACGAUGAGAAGAGUUUUCAUUUCUCACUUUUUGUUUAGAAAUAAAAAAGCUAGAAAUUUUAGUUUCUAAUUUCUGCUUUAACUCUAUUUCUAGAAUAGAAAUUUAUUUCAGAAAUAGAAAAAUGAAAUUAUAUUACCAAAUGGAUUUUUGUUCUAAACUUGUUUUGAGGAACAAAAAAACAAAGAAAUAGAGAAACAAAGAUUUUAUCACGCGUGCUCUUAGUAAUUAUAUAAAAUUUCUAUUCUUGGAAUAGAAAAAGAACAUAAACGCGUUGGGUACUGCCCUAAAAAUUUCUAUUCCCAAUUCAUUUAAUUAGAAAAAUGUUAGUGAAGACUUAGCAAUUCAUGUCUGAAUAAAAUUGAACUUUUCUAAGGAUUUAAUUGAUCAAGAUAUUCUAAGAUGGUCUUUGAAAAUUCAACAUAAUAGUUGAGUGAAAAAAUGGAUGGUUGGAAAUGACAACAAAAAGUCCCACUAAUUUAUAACUCACAAUGUUAGGAGGUUAAUAGUAAAUUUUUGGACAUUACAAUAAACAGGUGCAGACUUUUCUAGCUCUUUUAGCUACAAGAAGAAGAGUAAUGUUAUUUGGUGGAAUGGACAAUGACAGAACAAUUGAGGAUGGAGGCAAUCUUUGGUGUGCUUAUUUGCCCAAAUCAUUAAACCUUCAAAUAAAUGAUAUCAGAAAUCCAUGGAGCACAACCUUAUUUGACUGCUAUAAACACAAAACAAAUGGUAAUACAAAAGACUUAUUUAGAGCUAUCUAAUUUUCUAUUAAAAUAGAAUUGCAGAUGAUCUUAGGAUAUCUCCAAUAGAAUCUUAAGGGAAGAAAACCAGAGUUGGCAAUCUUUCGUGACCUAAGCAUUGUCUCUAAAAGAAAAAAAGGCAUUUAAAAACCAUAUAGUAAAUUUUUAAAAGCUUAUUCAAUUUUGAAUCCAGUUUUCAUCAAAAGAUUUUCACAUUUUUUAUGCUAAACCAAUUCAAACUAGAAUUAACAAUAAAAUCUAGUAAAACUAUUCAAAAUCUAAUUUCUAAUUUUUUUCCUAAAUUUCUGAAUUUGUAUUUUUAUUUCAAAAAAUGGAGACUCAGAUUGGAUAAGGAGAUUGGACAUUGUGUCAAUUGUAUAAAGAUGAGCAUUAGGUUAUGUUGAGUUUGUUUUUCUAAAAUGGCAUUAUUUCUCUUUUUGUCCUCACGCACAAAGAAGUAAGUUUUUUCUAACUCUUGUUUCUAUUUUAAAUCUGUUCCCUUGCCAAUGACUGUUGUUGAUUUGUUUUUGGAAACAAAAGAACAGAAAAAAUAGAGAAAUAAAAUGGUUACCAAACAGGGUUUUAGCCAUUAUAUUUUUGUCCAUGACGUAAUCUUUUGAUUAAUAUAUCGCCGAUGACAUGCACACUAAGCCAUUGGUGGGUCGUCUCUUCCAUAUCAGUUAGACCCAUCUUAUUUUUUCUUUGUUCUUUUGCUUUGGAGUGAAUAUCACAAAUAAGGAGUCCAAGCCUCACACGUCUUCCAAAAAGACGGAGAGAGCAUUAAGAGCACGAAUGAUAACUAUUUUGGCAAGAAAUUGAUUUAUGAAACAAAAUAGAUUUUUAUAAUUUUAUUUCUAAAUGAGUUUAUGAGCAAAAAUACACAUUUGAUAACGAUACAAAAAUUAUGUUUUUGAAAUAGAAAUUCGUUUGAUAACGAUACAAAACUUCUCUCUCCCAAUCAAUGGCGGAUAGAGUGGGGGGCAGCACAACUACCAAUGGUAGUCGGCGAAUGGUAGUGGAUGGGGGGCAAUGGCCGAUGGGCGGUUGACUAAUAGCGAUGGCGAAUGACAAGAAGAAUAUUUUUCAUUUCUGUUCUAGAAAUAAAUAAAUAGAAAUAUUUUACUUUUCAUUUCUGUUUCAAAUCUAUUUCUAGACAAAAAAUUUGUUCCAUAAAUAGAAAAAUAAAAUUGCAUUAUCAAAUGGAUUUCUGUAAUUUUAGUUGCAAAAAUAGUUGUUUACCUAGUCUUAACUAUUAAGUAAAACGGGUCUUUUUAUUUAGCCACCAUAGAAAAUCUAGCGAGUGUUGAUUAGAAGAGAUCAUUGUCUCAGUACAAUUUUUUCUUUAUCGGUUUGAUUAGUCUAAUCGAACCGGUUGGCAACCAUAGCUGCACCAAUAAUUUAAACUUGUCAAGCUAAAGUAUAACUUAGUAAUUCAUUGAGGGGCAACCAUGGGCUUGUAGUCGUUGCCUUCGUGCGGAAGAAAUUCCAAUGCUCAAGAUAACCCAACGCGAUAUGGACAUCCUCUUGCAACAUCUAAUUUGGUAAACUUGUCGAGCUAGAUUUAAAAAAUCUGCGUAUAAAGUCUUUGAACAGAAACUAUGAAUCGACCUAUUGAACUUAUUCCUCAAAUCUACGAUGCGGACAUCCUCCCUCCAUAUCAAGAUUAACUUGAUAAAUAUUAAAGAUCAUGACAUUUUUCAGAAAACUAAGAUUUCAUGACAUUUUAGUACAUGAUCGAAAAUUUAUGCUUUUCAUGGUAAACUUACAAGUGGAAAGUUCAAGAUUCUCUAGAAUAUUAAGCUAAAGAGAUCCGGAAAAUCUACUUUUUUUCAAAAAUGAUUUCUUUUAAAAGAAAAUGAGGACUGUUCGGAUUUUCAUGGUUGUAUAAUGUCCAUUUUCAUAAAUAUAUAUUCCCUCGCUAAAUGUGAAAAUUACAAUUUUGGCCAUAAAACUUAAUAUUUCAAUUUCAGUAUACUUAUAACCAUUACUUGUAAAUAACACGGACUUAUUUGUCAAACUUCAAAUGAUGGAUAAAGCGCGUGCUUGCUGAGUAAAAAAAUCCACACACACACACACACACACACACACACACACACACACACACACACACAUAUAUAUAUAUAUAUAUAAUAUUUUAAAAGAACUGAAAAAAAAUAAAAAAAUUGAUCGGCAAUUGCUUCAGAUGACGAAAUAACUUCAGGCACAAACUUUAAAUUGAACUUAAAUUGAAAUUACAUACUAGCAUUAACAACGAGAAUUAGAGUACCAAACACACCACAUAAACACACGUGCUGUAAAAGGUCAUACCUGAGGACACCAUGCAAAACCAAACGACAGACAUUAGAAUACACAAGCAAGACCACAUAUUUCUACUUUUACUUGGUAGCUAGCUAGCAACUACUUCUUCCGGAGGUCGCUCCACAGGUCGCGGAAGUAGGUUUUGGGGUAUGCGCAUGUCCCUCCCGGGGGCUUUCAUGGUCUUUUCUUCUUCGCCAGGCUUGGACGAGUCGCUCUGCAAGUCGUGGAAGUUGGCAGCGGGGUCCUCCUUGAAGGCACGUUGGGUAUGCGCAUGUCCCUCCCGGGAGCUUUCAUGGUCUUCUCUUCUCCUCUGGGCUUGGACGAGUGGCUCCGCAGGUUGCGGAAGCAGGGAGCGGGGUUCUCCUCGAAGGUACGCCGGGGUAUGCGAGUGUCCCUCCCGGGAGCUUUCAUGGUCUUUUCUUCUCCACUGGGCUUGGACGAGUUGCUCCGCAGGCUGCGGAAGUAGGUAGCGGGGUCCUCCUCGAAGGGACGCCGGGGUAUGCGCAUCUCCCUCCCGGGAGCUUUCAUGGUCUUUUCUUCUCCGGUGGGCUUGGACGAGUUGCUCCACAGGUUGCAGGACCCCUCGAAGGUACGCUGGGGUAUGCGCAUGUCCCUCCCGGGGGCUUUCAUGGCCUUUUCUUCUCCGCUGGGCUUGGACGAGUUGCUCCGCAGGUUGCGGAAGUAGGUAGCGGGAUCCUCCUCGAAGGGACGCCGGGGUAUGCGCAUGUCUCUCCCGGGAGCUUUCAUGGUCUUUUCUUCUCCGCUGGGCUCGGACGAGUUGCUCCGCAGGUUGCGGAAGUAGGUAGCGGGGUCCUCCUCGAAGGGACGCCGGGGUAUGCGCAUGUCCCUCCCGGGAGCUUUCAUGGUCUUUUCUUCUCCGCUGGGCUUGGACGAGUCGCCCGUCAGACUCAUCACGCCCACGCGCACGGCCAAGGCCCAGAUCGCGUCCAUAGGAAUAUGCCUUCGGAUAUGGUAAAAGCUUUGAGGUCUCUUUAGUGUCGAAGUGUGAGUGCUCAAUGCCUUGUUGCUUAGGGUAAGAGGUGAGUCUUUGGGGGUUAAUUUAUAGCCGCUUUGGUGGCUUUGGAGCUUGGACUUGGGAGUAAUUUCAUUGACGUUGAUGUUGACCUUCACUUGGGGCAAUUCGUUGCUUAAUGCUCUCACACCCCCCGCCCCUCUCCCUCCUCUCCCUCCUCUCCCUCCUCUCCCUCUGCGUGUGUGUGUG
rnacentral:lncRNA from 1 species